GGCUGGUCCAAGUGCAGUGGUGUUUACAACUAAUUGAUCACAACCAAUUAGAGAUUCCUUUGUUCCUUCUCCACUCCCAUUGCUUCACUUGACUAGCCUUAA
rnacentral:Y_RNA from 1 species